rnacentral:rRNA from 1 species
AACGUAGGACACAAGCGUUAUCCGGAUUUACUGGGUUUAAAGGGUGCGUAGGUGGGCAGGUAAGUCAGUGGUGAAAUCUCCGGGCUUAACCCGGAAACUGCCAUUGAUACUAUCUGUCUUGAAUUUCCUGGAGGUAAGCGGAAUAUGUCAUGUAGCGGUGAAAUGCUUAGAUAUGACAUAGAACACCAAUUGCGAAGGCAGCUUACUACGGGAAUAUUGACACUGAGGCACGAAAGCGUGGGGAUCAAACAGG